UCAAUGAGAUCAAUCAUUCUACUACAAUCCCUUUCACUUUUGAUUCCAACAAUGACGACCCCAUCCUGAAAAUUCCAAACAGAAGGCAGCUGGCGCUCCACUUUUGCCUCUAGAAAAGUUUUAACUCUUUCCCUUGGGAAUUUGUUCAGAGGAAGUCGAUUUGUUUUUGUCACAUAAAUGAGAAUAAUAUCAAGGUCUUGGAUAUCUGCGUCCCUCUUUGCUCUCAUCGUCUUUGCGUUCUUUUUCUCGACUUCAUUCGAAGGGAGACAGCGCAGUUUCUUGGCGGAUCAAGAUGACCUAAUUCGUCAACACGGAGAGGCAGCAGGGAAUGGACAGAAGGAAGCAGUAGCGCCUCUGGUGCAUACUCGGAUGCUCAACGUCAAGAUUAAUGAUUACGGCAGCUAUGACCCUUCCCCUUCCAUGGACAAGCCGCACUUCAAGUUCACACCCAACUGAUGAAUUAUGUAUCCAUGCAUGUUGCAGCACUUGAGCGUGGCCGAUGAGGAUUUUGGCUCCUUAUUACAUGUGUAUUAGCUGAUGUAUAGAUAGAGAGGGACUUCCUAGGCUUGCGCUAAAACUAUUAUAGUGGCAUUUAGUAUCUUGUUAUAGACGAUGUUUCUUUUUGCGAAAUGUUAUAGACGAUGUUUCUCGUGCUUUUUGAAGUAGUCGCAAGGAGUUGUCGGUGUUUAUUGGGUUGAACAUGUCAUAUAGGAGUAUUGUACUUAAACCAUACAUAUAUAUAUGCAAGUAAGGUUGUUUUGCCA